CGGCGGACGGGUGAGUAAUGCUUAGGAAUCUGCCUAUUAGUGGGGGACAACAUUCCGAAAGGAAUGCUAAUACCGCAUACGCCCUACGGGGGAAAGCAGGGGAUCUUCGGACCUUGCGCUAAUAGAUGAGCCUAAGUCAGAUUAGCUAGUUGGUGGGGUAAAGGCCUACCAAGGCGACGAUCUGUAGCGGGUCUGAGAGGAUGAUCCGCCACACUGGGACUGAGACACGGCCCCAAGACUCCUUACGGGGAGGCAGGCCAGUGGCGGAAUAUUGGAACCAAUGGGCGAAAGGCCCUGAUCCAAGCCAUGCCCGCGUGUGUGAAGAAGGCCUUUUUGGUUGUAAAGCACUUUAAGCGAGGAGGAGGCUACUUGGAUUAAUACUCUAGGAUAGUGGACGUUACUCGCAGAAUAAGCACCGGCUAACUCUGUGCCAGCAGCCGCGGUAAUACAGAGGGUGCGAGCGUUAAUCGGAUUUACUGGGCGUAAAGCGUGCGUAGGCGGCUUUUUAAGUCGGAUGUGAAAUCCCUGAGCUUAACUUAGGAAUUGCAUUCGAUACUGGGAAGCUAGAGUAUGGGAGAGGAUGGUAGAAUUCCAGGUGUAGCGGUGAAAUGCGUAGAGAUCUGGAGGAAUACCGAUGGCGAAGGCAGCCAUCUGGCCUAAUACUGACGCUGAGGUACGAAAGCAUGGGGAGCAAACAGGAUUAGAUACCCUGGUAGUCCAUGCCGUAAACGAUGUCUACUAGCCGUUGGGGCCUUUGAGGCUUUAGUGGCGCAGCUAACGCGAUAAGUAGACCGCCUGGGGAGUACGGUCGCAAGACUAAAACUCAAAUGAAUUGACGGGGGCCCGCACAAGCGGUGGAGCAUGUGGUUUAAUUCGAUGCAACGCGAAGAACCUUACCUGGUCUUGACAUAGUAAGAACUUUCCAGAGAUGGAUUGGUGCCUUCGGGAACUUACAUACAGGUGCUGCAUGGCUGUCGUCAGCUCGUGUCGUGAGAUGUUGGGUUAAGUCCCGCAACGAGCGCAACCCUUUUCCUUAUUUGCCAGCGGGUUAAGCCGGGAACUUUAAGGAUACUGCCAGUGACAAACUGGAGGAAGGCGGGGACGACGUCAAGUCAUCAUGGCCCUUAUCGACCAGGGCUACACACGUGCUACAAUGGUCGGUACAAAGGGUUGCUACCUAGCUGAUAGGAUGCUAAUCUCAAAAAGCCGAUCGUAGUCCGGAUUGGAGUCUGCAACUCGACUCCAUGAAGUCGGAAUCGCUAGUAAUCGCGGAUCAGAAUGCCGCGGUGAAUACGUUCCCGGGCCUUGUACACACCGCCCGUCACACCAUGGGAAU
rnacentral:rRNA from 1 species